UAGGUCACCGACUAGGUCAUCCCCAGUAGCCAGUACCAGGUCGAGCAGCACUUUGCCUCUCGUUGGCCCAUAGACUUCUUGAGUCAGGUAGAGGUCAUCCACACACGAGAGGAAGCUUUGCGACCGCUCAGAUUUUGCUGAGCGAUCCUCCCACAAGAUGUCCGGGUAAUUGAAGUCACCCAUGACAACCAUGGUCCUGGAGCAUGCGGCCUCAGCCAGUUCCCGGGCAAACUCCUGGUCAAGCUCAGGACUUUGGGUGGGAGGUCUGUAGUAGACUCCCACCAUUGUGUCCCCUGUGCCGUGUUCCCCACAGAUUUUAACCCAGAGGGUCUCCAGCCGUCCACCCUGGUCACCAAUAUCGGCUUGCAGGGACGUGUAGCUUUCCUUAACAUAGAGAGCUACACCCCCGCCCCUUUUCUCUACACAAUCCCUCCUGUACAGGGUAUAGCCAUCUAUACCCGUGGUCCAGUCAUGGGUGGAGUCCCACCAGGUCUCUGUUAUCCCUAUGACAUCAUAAUUAUUUGCAUUGAGCAGGAGGAUGAGUUCCUCCUGCUUAUUCCCCAAGCUCCUGAGCGUGAAAUCUGUGGAAAAGCCAGGCAGUUCUCUCUGGUGAGGGUCUGAUAUUCCAGAAGUAGGGUAGGCCACAAAAGCAAGGGAGUGCUCCCUGCCAGCCCCUCUUUAUUAGGCCAGGCCCUUGUAGUCAGAAAACAGCUAGGACUGUGGUUCAGGUUUCUGGAAUGGUUUGCUGGGAGACUGUAACAGGGAACCCUAGCCCUGUUACCAGAAGGCAGGUUGGCCCCUUUAAGACCAAAACUUCCUGGGCACAGCGUGCUGGUAAGGUGGAAGAUAAAAGCUGAGCCUGGCCAGCUAGUCAGGUGACCGGAAGUGGGCAGGCCAGAACUAUAAAAAACCUGGGCUGGGCGGCAGUAGGGGCUAGCAGCCAAAGGGGAAGGAGUGCAUAUAAGAGCUCCAUGGAGAGGCUUGGUGAGUGGCCCAGCUGCUGCAGGAGGAGAACUACUGAGGACUCUCAGAGAAGCUGCGGCAGCCCCAGGAGAAGGACCGUAGCAGACGGUGGGGAGCAGAAGCACAAACCCCUGAGAAAAUCCCUUCUGACCUUUACGCACAAGGAAGUGCCAACCUGCAUGACUAAAAGUCAAAGAAAACUAAAAAGCUUGAUUCCUGCCAGCGGUCCAUGUCUAUGGCUCUUACAGGCAUCAGCAGGAAUUCCACAUGUAGCUACCUGCCAAUUACUUAUUAAGGAGUCCUAAGAGAUGGAUGAAGAAUUAUGCUCAGAAAUCCCACAGCUACAGAGACAACAGACUGAACCAUGUUCCCUAGACCUGCAGAAGGAAGGCAACCUUUGCAUGGCAGCCUGCCCCACUUACUUCUGAGCCAGGGUGCUAUUAUCUUUCAUACAGCCUUCCCUGUGUCCUGUGAAACUUUCUGUUUGACUAUUACAAGAGGAUUUUGGGGAAGAUGGAGUUGGAGCUAGGGGAGUUUUUCUAGCAACUCAGCUCUGCAGGAAUGAUGCUAUGUUUAAAGCUGAAGUGGAAGCAGCUGGCUGAAGAGGUGGUGCGAAGGCCAGGGACCUUUGUGCAAGGCCUCCUAGGCUGCAGGUCAGUCUCUGCAUUAGGAAAAAUGGCUUCUCCAGGUCUUUUCCAUCCUCUUCUCCCUGCUGCGUUAAUGGCCUGGAAAAAAUCAUCCUAGUUCCUGGCUCUGAUUUCUGUAGGAAAUAAACUGCCCCACUGUCACAUGAGAUCUAAUCCCAAAUUUCAGUCUGAGGAAAUAAUCGUUUUCUAAACAGCCUAAUGCUAACAGAACUGUGUUUUUAAAAUGUAUUUAGUAUUGUGUUCAAUGAAACCUCAGCAUCCCUGCAUUGUUCUGCUGCCUGUGAGCCAGAAGGUGAGCUUAGUGAGAAAGUGCCUGUAUGCUAAAGUCUCUUAGAAAACCCUAGACAUGAAGGAAAUGAUUGGCUCCUUGGUUAUGUCCAUUUCUUUUGUGCCCGAGUUCUCUCUCACCUGUGUUAUUGUGAGCUCCUUGAUUUUCAUCCAGUCUGUGCAAAGCACAGCAGCUAAAAUAAUCUUUUGGACAAUCUAAAAAAACUGACGUUGAUCUCAUACUAUUAGUUGUUAUUUUAUAGCAGUGCUUAUAGGUCACAGGGCCCUAUUAUGCUAGGUGGUGUGUUAGUGCAUAGGCUGCAAUCUUAUACUUAUUCACCUGCUUAACCUUGCUCCUAAAGCAGCCUUGUUAAAGUCAGGAAGCAGGCGGAUAACUGUUUUCAGGUUCAGGGCCAAAACAACAGACAGAUAAACAAAGGGUGGGAAGGAAAAUAGAGAUGUGAAGUGGCUUGAGUGAUCUUUUACCAUAUUCUUUUUAUGUACAUGAUAGUCAGGGUUGGAUCCUGGGGGAAUACAGUGAUGCAGUUGGUCCCCCAACUUUAUUUCCUGGUUCACCCAGAGUUUAAAACCAGCUUCCUGGGCCUGCAACAGCAUUUCUAUUCAGGCAGCAGUGAGAGAAUUAGUUGACUUCAUUGAUGAUUGUAAACUACCGGCUUCCUUCUAAACUAUUCAUUACACAGGUGUUAAUGCCCCUAUCCCCUUUUAAAUGGUAUUGAUGUUCUAAUCAAGCUGUCCUUUCUUUUGCAGUUCUGUUAUUUGUUAGUUGCUCCUGGUAAUCUAGCUCCUUUUUCACCACCCUGCAGACUGCUUUUAACUAUAGCUAAAAACAUUAACUUAGAUGUAGAACUGUUAACUCACAUGAACAUUAACUUGGGUGCAGAAAUAGCUUUCAGUGCAAUCCUGGAUGCACUGUCAAGCUGCUCAAGAAGACUAAGUUUUGUUUUAUGAAUCUGAAAGAGAUGAACAUUUGAUUCUAAAGACUACAAGACUAAUGAAACAACAGCUUUAACUUA